UACAGAGGGGGCUAGCGUUAUUCGGAAUUAUUGGGCGUAAAGGGCGCGUAGGCGGCCAUGCGUGUCUUCCGUGAAAUCCCUCGGCUUAACUGAGGACGUGCGGAAGAAACUGCAAGGCUCGAGUCCGGGAGAGGGGGGUGGAAUUCCCAGUGUAGCGGUGAAAUGCGUAGAUAUUGGGAGGAACACCAGUGGCGAAGGCGGCUCACUGGACCGGUACUGACGCUGAGGCGCGAAAGCGUGGGUAGCAAACAGG
rnacentral:rRNA from 1 species